AUUGAACGCUGGCGGCAUGCUUUACACAUGCCAGUCGAACGGUAACAGGCCGCAAGGUGCUGACGAGUGGCGAACGGGUGAGUAAUGCAUCGGAACGUGCCCAGUCGUGGGGGAUAACUACUCGAAAGAGUAGCUAAUACCGCAUACGAUCUAUGGAUGAAAGCGGGGGACAGUAAGGCCUCGCGCGAUUGGAGCGGCCGAUGUCAGAUUAGGUAGUUGGUGGGGUAAAGGCUCACCAAGCCAACGAUCUGUAGCUGGUCUGAGAGGACGACCAGCCACACUGGGACUGAGACACGGCCCAGACUCCUACGGGAGGCAGCAGUGGGGAAUUUUGGACAAUGGGCGCAAGCCUGAUCCAGCAAUGCCGCGUGCAGGAAGAAGGCCUUCGGGUUGUAAACUGCUUUUGUACGGAACGAAACGGCUCUGGUUAAUACCCGGGGCUAAUGACGGUACCGUAAGAAUAAGCACCGGCUAACUACGUG
rnacentral:rRNA from 1 species